rnacentral:rRNA from 1 species
GGCCAGACUCCUACGGGAGGCAGCAGUGGGGGAUAUUGCACAAUGGGGGAAACCCUGAUGCAGCGACACCGCGUGGGUGAAGAAGCGCUUCGGCGUGUAAAGCCCUAUCAGUGGGGAAGAAAAAGGACGGUACCCAAAGAAGAAGCACCGGCUAAAUACGUGCCAGCAGCCGCGGUAAUACGUAGGGGGCAAGCGUUAUCCGGAAUUACUGGGUGUAAAGGGAGCGCAGACGGCAGUGCAAGUCUGGAGUGAAAGCCCGUGGCUUAACCACGGGACUGCUCUGGAAACUGUGCAGCUAGAGUGCAGGAGAGGCAGGCGGAAUUCCUAGUGUAGCGGUGAAAUGCGUAGAUAUUAGGAGGAACACCGGUGGCGAAGGCGGCCUGCUGGACUGUAACUGGCGUUGAGGCUCGAAAGCGUGGGGAGCAAACAGGAUUAGAUACCCCAGUA